rnacentral:rRNA from 1 species
AUUGAACGCUGGCGGCAUGCUUUACACAUGCAAGUCGAACGGUAACAGGCCGCAAGGUGCUGACGAGUGGCGAACGGGUGAGUAAUGCAUCGGAACGUGCCCAGUCGUGGGGGAUAACGCAGCGAAAGCUGCGCUAAUACCGCAUACGAUCUAUGGAUGAAAGCGGGGGACCGUAAGGCCUCGCGCGAUUGGAGCGGCCGAUGUCAGAUUAGGUAGUUGGUGGGGUAAAGGCUCACCAAGACAACGAUCUGUAGCUGGUCUGAGAGGACGACCAGCCACACUGGGACUGAGACACGGCCCAGACUCCUACGGGAGGCAGCAGUGGGGAAUUUUGGACAAUGGGCGCAAGCCUGAUCCAGCAAUGCCGCGUGCAGGAAGAAGGCCUUCGGGUUGUAAACUGCUUUUGUACGGAACGAAACGGCUCUCUCUAAUACAGGGGGCUAAUGACGGUACCGUAAGAAUAAGCACCGGCUAACUCUGUGCCAGCCGCCGCAGUAAGAC